AAUAGACCGCAUAUUAAUGCCGUGCGGUGUAUCAGCCCAAGCAGGCCUCAGUGGCUGGAUCAGGGCACCCGGCUCUCGAUAUGCUUGUUUAUGGUAUCGGGGUGUUUGCCUGGGUGUCCCCAGUUUGGUAAGAGCUGACCUGGAGUUGGACAUGCUGAGUUUCCUGGGUUUUUCCCCAAAAAAGUCGAUUAGUCUUAAAAGCUGGGAAUCGGCACUUCUG